UAUACAAUUCAGUUGAUUCCCGAGGUUCAAACUAGCAACACCUUCGGGAAUGAACUCCAAAUUCUAAGUGAUUUUCGGUUGCCUUACGAAAUUUAAAAUUUUCGACUAGUUUUAAGAACAAAGUUUCUUUUUUUAAAAUUAUUCUUAAGCACAAAGUGAUAUUCUUUCCACCUGAAAAGUCGUAAUAUAUCGUAAACACCAACUCAGAAACACACAGAGCACAUGAAUGCCUUGAAACACGUACAGACGACUCGACUCUUUUCUUUUCUCCUGAGGAUACUCUACAUGAUUUACACUUACAUUAAUUUAUACUUCCUGGACGAACUUACAUAAGCGGAAAUAAGACUUAAACACUAUUAUCUAUAAUACUGAUCAACACUUGGAGCUCUCUGGACACGUAACUCAUGAUUACCAAUACCAAUGAAUGAAAAGCAGGAGGGGCAUAUACAUAUAUGGAUAUAUAUAUGCUAUACUAAAUAAUAUAAAAAUAAAUGUACCUUUUAAACUUAAA